UACAUUUAAAGGACACAAGGUGAAGAAAGAACACGAGGCUAUCUAGAGGCAAGCAAACUAUGUCACAAAUUCAGAGGCGGUAUAACCUGGAGGCGGGAGCCUGCACUUUGGACUCAGACCAGACCUAGAUUUCAGGCCAUUGAUGGCACUUAAUAGCCAGAGUACAUGGGUUCGAUCCCUGGUCCAGGAAGAUCCCACAUGCUGCAGAGCAACUAAGCCCAUGCACCACAACUACUGAGCCUGCGCUCUAGAGCCUGCGAGCUACAACUACUGAGCCUGUUUGCUGCAACUACUGAAGGCUGCACACCUAGAGCCAGUGCUCCACAGCAAGAGAAGCCACAGCAAUGAGAAGCCUGUGCACCGCAACGAAGAGUAGACCCCACUCACUGCAACUAGAGAAAGCCAUGUGCAGCAACGAAGACUCAG